rnacentral:rRNA from 1 species
AAUCAACGCUCGCGGCGUGCCUAACACAUGCAAGUCGCGCGGGCUUGGAGGGCUUGCUCUCCAAGUCAGCGGCAGACGGGUGAGUAACACGUGGGUAACCUGCCCUCGAGUGGGGGAUAACCCGGGGAAACUCGGGCUAAUACCGCAUGACAUCGCUUGGUCUUCGGACUGGGCGAUCAAAGCUGGGGAUCGCAAGACCUGGCGCUUGAGGAGGGACCCGCGUCCGAUUAGCUAGUUGGUGGGGUAACGGCCCACCAAGGCAACGAUCGGUAGCCGGCCUGAGAGGGUGUCCGGCCACACUGGGACUGAGACACGGCCCAGACUCCUACGGGAGGCAGCAGUGAGGAAUUAUGCGCAAUGGGGGAAACCCUGACGCUGCGACGCCGCGUGGGUGAUGAAGGUCUUCGGAUCGUAAAACCCUGUCGAGAGGGAAGAAUGGCCCGGUGCUAAUACCAUCGGAGUCUGACGGUACCUCUGGAGGAAGCCCCGGCUAACUCCGUGCCAGCAGCCGCAGUAAUAC